rnacentral:misc_RNA from 1 species
UGUGGGAGCGGGCUUGCUCGCGAAAACGGUGGUUCAGUCACUUCAAAUGUUGAAUGAAACACCGCAUUCGCGAGCAAGCCCGCUCCCACA